GGCAGGCAUUCGGUAGGCGAGCAUAGGUUUGGCGAGGGAUGGCUCAGCAGAUCCAGGUUUUGCGAGAUUCGAUCUCGUCAGAUGAGGUCGGCGAGACUUAGCUCGGUGGACAUGGAUCGACGAACACUGAGACGGGGUUGACUGAUGCUUCUCUCAUUUCUUCUCCCACCUCGGAUUUGUCAAGCUCUUGACUCAUUUGGACUCGUUUCAUGCCUCGUGAAUCUACUCUGAUUUCUUUUUCUCUUUAGAUUGUGGUCGACGUUAG
rnacentral:lncRNA from 1 species